rnacentral:pre_miRNA from 7 species
GACGCAGGGCCCUGCCGGGUGCCGUGCAGCAGCUGGUGUUGUGAAUCAGGCCGUCACCAGUCGGAGAACGGCUACUUCACAACACCAGGGUGGCACUGCACCACACUUCGACGCCAGCCAG